GCUAUUUUGACAGAUUAAUUGUAUUAAUUUUAGAAAUUAAUUUAUAAUAUAUAAGUAUAUUAUUUAGCA
rnacentral:tRNA from 1 species